rnacentral:lncRNA from 1 species
UGGAAGGCUCUAGGGGAAUAAAGAUGGAAUGACUUCUAAUUUUUAGGUCCGUAUGAUUUGAAAUACUUGCACACAAACCACGCGAAAGCGUUCCUGGAAAUCUCAGCCCAAAAAAGGACGUUUAGUAAUUCUAAAAGGGACUACAGGAUGAAAAACAAUAGUUUUGGCAGUUAAAGUUUGAGAUUCGACAGUGCCGUAGAUCCGUUUGGUCAUCAGGUAUUACGAGCCACACCCAUGUCUAGCUAGAAUAGUGUGCUAGGCUCAGGCUAGAGAAGAAACGGGGAACAAACUGAUGAAAGAAUGAUCAAACCGAGGGAAUUCACUCAGAACUAACAAUAAUGAUAACGUGCUCCGACUGGUGCGGUUUAGGAACUGCUGGAAGGCUCUAGGGGAAUAAAGAUGGAAUGACUUCUAAUUUUUAGGUCCGUAUGAUUUGAAAUACUUGCACACAAACCGCGCGAAAGCGUUCCUGGAAAUCUCAGCCCAAAAAAGGACGUUUAGUAAUUUUAAAAGGGACUAUAGGAUGAAAAACAAUAGUUUUGGCAAUUAAAGUUUGAGAUUCGACGGUGUCGUAGAUCCGUUUGGUCAUCAGGUGUUACGAGCCACACCCAUGUCUAGCUAGAAUAGUAUGUCAGGCUCAGGUUAGAGUAGAAACGGGGAACAAACUGAUGAAAGAAUGAUCAUACCAAGGGAAUUCACUCAGAACUAUCAAGAAUGAUAACGUGCUCCGACUGGAGUGAUUUAGGAACUGCUGGAAGGCUCUAGGGGAAUAAAGAUGGAAUGACUUCUAAUUUUUACGUCCGUAUGAUUUGAAAUACUUGCACACAAAUCACGCAAAAGCGUUCCUGGAAAUCUCAGCCUAAAAAAGGACGUUUAGUAAUUCUAAAAGGGACUACAGGAUGAAAAACAAUAGUUUGGGCAGUUAAAAUUUGAGAUUCGACGGUGCCGUAGAUCCGUUUGGUCAUCAGGUGUUACGAGCGACACCCUUGUCUAGCUAGAAUAGUGUGUUAGGCUCAGACUAGAGAAGAAACGGGGAACAAAGUGAUGAAAGAAUGAUCAUACCGAGGGAAUUCACUCAGAACUAACAAGAAUGAUAACGUGCUCCGACUGGAGCGGUUUAGUAACUGCUGGAAGGCUCUAGGGGAAUGAAGAUGGAAUGACUUCUAAUUUUUAGGUCCGUAUGAUUUGAAAUACAUGCACACAAACCCUGAGAAAGCGUUCCUGGAAAUCUCGGUCGAAAAAAGGAUGUUUAAUAAUUCUAAAAGGGACUACCGGAUGAAAAACAAUAGUUUUGGCAGUUAAAGUUUGUGAUUCGAUGGUGCCGUAGAUCUGUUUGGUCAUCAGGUGUUACGAGCCACACCCAUGUCUAUCUAGAAUAGUGUGUUAGGCUCAGGCUAGAGCAGAAACGGGGAACAGACUUAUGAAAGAAUGAUCAUACCGAGGGAAUUCACUCAGAACUAACAAGAAUGAUAACGUGCUCCGACUGGCGCGGUUUAGGAACUGCUGGAAGGCUCUAGGGGAAUAAAGAUGGAAAGACUUCUAAUUUUUAGGUCCGUAUGAUUUGAAAUACUUGCACACAAACCGCACGAAAGCGUUCCUGGAAAUCUCAGCCUAAAAAGGAUGUUUAGUAAUUCUAAAAGGGACUACAAGAUGAAAAAUAAUAGUUUGGGCAGUUAAAAUUUGAGAUUCGACGAUGCCGUAGAUCCGUUUGGUCAUCAGGUGUUAUGAGCCACACCCAUGUCUAGCUAGAAUAGUGUGUUAGGCUCAGGCUAGAGAAGAAACGGGGAACAAACUGAUGAAAGAAUGAUCAUACCGAGGGAAUUCACUCAGAACUAACAAGAAUGAUAACGUGCUCCGACUGGAGCAGUUUAGAAACUGCUGGAAGGCUCUAAUGGAAUAAAGAUGGAAUGCCUUCAAAUUUCUAGGUCCGUAUGAUUUGAAAUACUUGCACACAAACCGCUCGAAAGCGUUCCUGGAAAUCUCAGCCCAAAAAAGGACGUUUAGUAAUUCUAAAAGGGACUACAGGAUGAAAAACAAUAGUUUUGGCAGUUAAAGUUUGAGAUUCGAUGGUGCCGUAGAUCCGUUUGGUCAUCAGGUGUAACGAGCCACACACAUGUCUAGCUAGAGUAGUGUGCUAGGCUCAGACUAGAGAAGAAACGGGGAACAAAGUGAUGAAAGAAUGAUCAUACCGAGGGAAUUCACUCAGAACUUACAAGAAUGAUAACGUGCUCCGACUGGAGCGCUUUAGUAACUGCUGGAAGGCUCUAGGCGAAUAAAGAUGGAAUGACUUCUAAUUUUUAGGUCCGUAUGAUUUGAAAUACUUGCACACAAACCACGCAAAACCGUUCCUAGAAAUCUCGGUCGAAAAAAGGACGUUUAGUAAUUCUAAAAGGGACUACAGGAUGAAAAACAAUAGUUUUGGCAGUUAAAGUUUGAGAUUCGAUGGUGCCGUAGAUCCGUUUGGUCAUCAGGUGUUACGAGCCACACCCAUGUCUAGCUAGAGUAGUGUGCUAGGUUCAGACUAGAGAAGAAACGGGGAACAAAGUGAUUAAAGAAUGAUCAUACCGAGGGAAUUCACUCAGAACUAACAAGAAUGAUAACGUGCUCCGACUGGAGCGGUUUAGGAACUGCUGGAAGGCUCUAGGGGAAUAAAGAUGGAAUGACUUCUAAUUUUUACGUCCGUAUGAUUUGAAAUACAUGCACACAAACCACGCAAAAGCGUUCCUGGAAAUCUCAGCCUAAAAAAGGACGUUUAGUAAUUCUAAAAGGGACUACAGGAUGAAAAAUAAUAGUUUGGGCAGUUAAAAUUUGAGAUUCGACGCUGCCGUAGAUCCGUUUGGUCAUCAGGUCUUACGAGCCACACCCAUGUCUAGCUAGAAUAGUGUGUUAGGCUCAGGCUAGAGAAGAAACGGGGAACAAACUGAUGAAAGAAUGAUCAUACCGAGGGAAUUCACUCAGAACUAACAAGAAUGAUAACGUGCUCCGACUGGAGCAGUUUAGAAACUCCUGGAAGGCUCUAGGGGAAUAAAGAUGGAAUGACUUCAAAGUUUUAGGUCCGUAUGAUUUGAAAUACUUGCACACAAACCGCGUGAAAGCGUUCCUGGAAAUCUCAACCCAAAAAAGGGCGUUUAGUAAUUCUAAAAGGGACUACAGGAUGUAAAACAAUAGUUUUGGCAGUUAAAGUUUGAGAUUCGAUGGUGCCGUAGAUCCGUUUGGUCAUCAGGUGUAACGAGCCACACCCAUGUCUAGCUAGAGUAGUGUGCUAGGCUCAGACUAGAGAAGAAACGGGGAACAAAGUGAUGAAAGAAUGAUCAUACCGAGGGAAUUCACUCAUAACUAACAAGAAUGAUAACGUGCUCUGACUUGAGCGGUUUAGGAACUGCUGGAAGGCUAUAGGGGAAUAAAGAUGGAAUGACUUCAAAUUUUUAGGUCCGUAUGAUCUGAAAUACUUGCACACAAACCGCGAGAAAGCGUUCCUGGAAAUCUCAACCCAAAAAAGGACGUUUAGUAAUUCUAAAAGGGACUACAGGAUGAAAAACAAUAGUUCUGGCAGUUAUUGUUUGAGAUUCGAUAAUCUCGUAGAUCCGUUUGGUCAUCAGGUGUAACGAGCCACACCCAUGUCUAGCUAGAGUAGUGUGCUAGGCUCAGACUAGAGAAGAAACGGGGAACAAACUGAUGAAAGAAUGAUCAUACCGAGGGAAUUCACUUAGAACUAACAAGAAUGAUAACGUGCUCCGACUGGAGCGGUUUAGGAACUGCUGGAAGGCUCUAGGGGAAUAAAGAAGGAACGACUUCUAAUUUUUAGGUCCGUAUGAUUUGAAAUAUGUGCACACAAACCACGAGAAAGCGUUCCUAGAAAUCUCGGCCCAAAAGAGGACGUUUAGUAUUCUAAAAGGGACUACAGAAUGAAAAACAAUAGUUUUGGCAGUUAAAGUUUGAGAUUUGACGGUGCCGUAGAUCUGUUUGGUCAUCAGGGGUUACGAGCCACACCCAUGUCUAGCUAGAAUAGUGUGUUAGGCUCAGGCUAGAAAAGAAACGGGGAACAAAGUGAUGAAAGAAUGAUCAUACCGAGGGAAUUCACUCAGAACUAACAAGAAUGAUAACAUGCUCCGACUGGAGCGGUUUAGGAACUGCUGGAAGGCUCUAGGGGAAUAAAGAUGGAAUGACUUCUAAUUUUUAGGUCCGUAUGAUUUGAAAUACUUGCACACAAACCGCGCGAAAGCGUUCCUGGAAAUCUCAGCCCAAAAAAGGACGUUUAGUAAUUCUAAAAGGGACUACAGGAUGAAAAACAAUAGUUUUGGCAGUUAAAGUAUGAGAUUCAACGGUGCCGUAGAUCCGUUUGGUCAUUAGGUGUUACGAGCCACACCCAUGUCUAGCUAGAAUAGUGUGCUAGGCUCAGGCUAGAGAAGAAACGGGGAACAAACUGAUGAAAGAAUGAUCAAACCGAGGGAAUUCACUCAGAACUAACAAUAAUGAUAACGUGCUCCGACUGGAGCGGUUUAGGAACUGCUGGAAGUCUCUAGGGGAAUAAAGAUGGAAUGACUUCUAAUUUUUACGUUCGUAUGAUUUGAAAAACUUGCCCAUAAACCGCGCGAAAGUGUUCCUGGAAAUCUCAGCCCAAAAAAGGACGUUUAGUAAUUUUAAAAGGGACUACACGAUGAAAAACAAUAGUUUUGGCAGGUAAAGUUUGAGAUUCGACAGUGCCGUAGAUCCGUUUGGUCAUCAGGUGUUACGAGCCACACCCAUGUCUAGCUAGAAUAGUAUGUUACGCUCAGGUUAGAGAAGAAACGGGGAACAAACUGAUGAAAGAUGAUCAUACCAAGGGAAUUCACUCAGAACUAACAAGAAUGAUAACGUGCUCCGACUGGAGCGGUUUAGGAACUGCUGGAAGGCUCUAGGGGAAUAAAGAUGGAAUGACUUCUAAUUUUUACGUCUGUAUGAUUUGAAAUACUUGCACACAAACAACGCAAAAGCAUUCCUGGAAAUCUCAUCCUAAAAAAGGACGUUUAGUAAUUCUAAAAGGGACUACAGGAUGAAAAAUAAUAGUUUGGGAAGUUAAAAUUUGAGAUUCGAUAGUGCCGUAGAUCCGUUUGGUCAUCAGGUGUUAGGAGCCACACCCAUGUCUAGCUAGAAUAGUGUGUUAGGCUCAGGCUAGAGAAGAAACAGGGAACAAACUGAUGAAAGAAUGAUCAUACCGAGGGAAUUCACUCAGAACUAGCAAGAAUGAUAACGUGCUCCGACUGGAGCAGUUUUGAAACUGCUGGAAGGCUCUAGGGGAAUAAUGAUGGAAUGACUUCUAAGUUUUUGGUCCGUAUGAUUUGAAAUACGUGCACACAAACCCAGAGAAAGUGUUCUUGGAAAUCUCGGCCGAAAAAAGGAUGUUUAAUAAUUCUAAAAGGGACUACAGGAUGAAAAACAAUAGUUUUGGCAGUUAAAGUUUGUGAUUCGAUGGUGCUGUAGAUCUGUUUGGUCAUCAGGUGUUAUGAGCCACACCCAUGUCUAGCUAGAACAGUGUGUUAGGCUCAGGCUAGAGCAGAAACGGGGAACAAACUUAUGAAAGAAUGAUCAUACCGAGGGAAUUCACUCAGAACUAACAAGAAUGAUAACGUGCUCCGACUGGAGAGGUUUAGGAACUGCUGGAAGGCUCUAGGGGAAUAAAGAUGGAAUGACUUCAAAUUUUUAGGUCUGUAUGAUCUGAAAUACUUGCACACAAACCGCGAGAAAGCGUUCCUGGAAAUCUCAGCCCAAAAAAGGACGUUUAGUGAUUCUAAAAGGGACUACGGGAUAAAAAACAAUAGUUUUGGCAGUUAAAGUUUGAGAUUCGAUAAUGCCGUAGAUCCGUUUGGUCAUCAGGUGUAACGAGCCACACCCAUGUCUAGCUAGAGUAGUGUGCUAGGCUCAUACUAGAGAAGAAAUGGGGAACAAACUGAUGAAAGAAUGAUCAUACCGAGGGAGUUCACUCAAAACUAACAUGAAUGAUAACGUGCUCCGACUGGAGCGGUUUAGGAACUGCUGGAAGGCUCUAGGGGAAUAAAGAUGGAAUGACUUCUAAUUUUUAGGUCCGUAUGAUUUGAAAUACAUGCACACAAACCCCAAGAAAGCGUUCCUGGAAAUCUCGCCCCGAAAAACGACGUUUAGUAAUUCUAAAAGGGACUAUAGGAUGAAAAACAAUAGUUUUGGCAGUUAAAGUUUGAGAUUUGACGGUGCCGUAGAUCUGUUUGGUCAUCAGGUGUUACGAGCCACACCCAUUUCUAGCUAGAAUAGUGUGUUAGGCUCAGGCUAGAAAAGAAACGGGGAACAAAGUGAUGAAAGAAUGAUCAUACCGAGGGAAUUCACUCAGAACUAACAAGAAUGAUAACAUGGUCCGACUGGAGCGGUUUAGGAACUGCUGGAAGGCUCUAGGGGAAUAAAGAUGGAAUGACUUCUAACUUUUAGGUCCGUAUGAUUUGAAUUACUUGCACACAAACCGCGCGAAAGCGUUCCUGGAAAUCUCAGCCCAAAAAAGGACGUUUAGUAAUUCUAAAAGGGACUACAGGAUGAAAAACAAUAGUUUUGGCAGUUAAAGUUUGAGAUUCGACGGUGCCGUAGAUCCGUUUGGUCAGCAGGUGUUACGAGCCACACCCAUGUCUAGCUAGAGUAGUGUGCUAGGUUCAGACUAGAGAAGAAAUGUUGGGGAACGUAGCAGAAAUUCAAAAUUUUCCUACGUGUCACCAAGAUCUAUCUAUGGAGAGACUAGCAACGAGGGAAGGAGAGUGCAUCUACAUACCCUUGUAGAUCGCUAAGCGGAAGCGUUCAAGUGAACGGGGUUGAUGGAGUCGUACUCGUCGUGAUUCAGCUCACCGAUGAUCCUAGUGCCGAACGGACGGCACCUCCGCGUUCAACACACGUACAGCUCGACGAUGUCUCCCACGCCUUGAUCCAGCAAGGAGAGAGGGAGAGGUUGAGGAAGACUCCAUCCAGCAGAAGCACAACGGCGUGGUGGUGAUGGAGGAGCAUGGCAAUCCUGCAGGGCUUCGCCAAGCACCUAUGGGAGAGGAGGAGGUGUCACGGGAGGGAGGGAGGCGCCAAGGGCUCAGGUAUAGAUGCCCUCCCUCCCCUCCACUAUAUAUAGGGGCAAGGGAGAGGGGGGAGGCGCAGCCUUGCCCCUUCCUCCAAGGAAGGGGUGCGGCUAAGAGGGGGGGAGGAGUCCAUCCUCCCCAAGGCACCUCGGAGGUGCCUUCCCCCUUUAGGACUCUCCCCUUUUUCCUAUAUCUUGGCGCAUGGGCCUCUAGGGGCUGGUUCCCUUGGCCCAUGUAGGCCCAGGCGCACCCCCUACAGCCCAUGUGGCCCCCCGGGGCAGGUGGCCCCACCUGGUGGGCCCCCGGGACCCUUCCGGUGGUCCCGGUACAAUACCGAUGACCCCGAAACUUGUCCCGAUGGCCGAAACAGGACUUCCUAUAUAUAAAUCUUUACCUCCGGACAAUUCCGGAACUCCUCGUGACGUCCGGGAUCUCAUCCGGGACUCCGAACAACAUUCGGUAACCACAUACAAACUUCCUUUAUAACCCUAGCGUCAUCGAACCUUAAGUGUGUAGACCCUACGGGUUCGGGAGACAUGUAGUCAUGACCGAGAUGUUCUCCGGUCAAUAACCAACAGCGGGAUCUGGAUACCCAUGUUGGCUCCCACAUGUUCCACGAUGAUCUCAUCGGAUGAACCACGAUGUCAAGGACUCAAUCAAUCCCGUAUACAAUUCCCUUUGUCUAGCGGUAUGGUACUUGCCCGAGAUUCGAUCGUCGGUAUACCGAUACCUUGUUCAAUCUCGUUACCGGCAAGUCUCUUUACUCAUUUCGUAACACAUCAUCCCGUGAUCAACCCCUUGGUCACAUUGUGCACAUUAUGAUGAUGUCCUACCGAGUGGGCCCAGAGAUACCUCUCCGUUUACACGGAGUGACAAAAUCCCAAUCUCGAUUCGUGCCAACCCAACAGACACUUUCAGAGAUACCCGUAGUGUACCUUUACAGCCACCCAGUUACGUUGUGACGUUUGGCACACCCAAAGCACUCCUACAGUAUCCGGGAGUUGCACAAUCUCAUGGUCUAAGGAAAUGAUACUUGACAUUAGAAAAGCUUUAGCAUACGAACUACAUGAUCUUGUGCUAGGCUUAGGAUUGGGUCUUGUCCAUCACAUCAUUCUCCUAAUGAUGUGAUCCCGUUAUCAACGACAUCCAAUGUCCAUGGUCAGGAAACCGUAACCAUCUAUUGAUUAACGAGCUAGUCAACUAGAGGCUUACUAGGGACAUGGUGUUGUCUAUGUAUCCACACAUGUAUCUAAGUUUCCUAUCAAUACAAUUCUAGCAUGGAUAAUAAACGAUUAUCAUGAACAAGGAAAUAUAAUAAUAAUCAAUUUAUUAUUGCCUCUAGGGCAUAUUUCCAACAGUCUCCCACUUGCACUAGAGUCAAUAAUCUAGUUCACAUCGAUAUGUGAUUAACACUCAAGGUCACAUUCCCAUGUGACUAACACCCAAGAGUUUACUAGAGUCAAUAAUCUAGUUCACAUUUACCAUGUGAUUAACACUUGAUGAGUUCUGGGUUUGAUCAUGUUAUGCUUGUGAGAGAGGUUAUAGUCAACGGGUCUGAACCUUUCAGAUCCGUGUGUGCUUUACAAAUCUCUAUGUCAUCUCCUAGAUGCAGCUACCACGUUCUAUUUGGAGCUAUUCCAAAUAACUGUUCUACUUGGAGCUAUUCUAAAUUGUUGCUCCAUUAUACGUAUCCGGUAUCUCUACUCAGAGCUAUCCGGAUAGGUGUUAAGCUUGCAUCGACGUAACCCUUUACGACGAACUCUUUUACCACCUCCAUAAUUGAGAAAAUUCCUUAGUCCACUAGUUACUAAGGAUAACUUUGACCGCUGUCCUGUGAUCCAUUCUUGGAUCACUCUUGUACCCCUUGACUGACUCAUGGUAAAGCACACUUCAGGUGCGGUACACAGCAUAGCAUACUGUAGAGCCUAUGUCUUAAGCAUAGGGGACGACCUUCGUUCCUUUCUCUCUAUUCUGCCAUGGUCGAGCUUUAAGUCUUAACUUCAUACCUUACAACUCAGGCAAGAACUCCUUCUUUGACUGAUCCAUCUUGAACACCUUCAAGAUCACGUCAAGGCAUGUGCUCACGUCAAGAUCACGUCGGUAUACCGAUACCUUGUUCAAUCUCGUUACCGGCAAGUCUCUUUACUCGUUCCGUAACACAUCAUCCCGUGAUCAACCCCUUGGUCACAUUGUGCACAUUAUGAUGAUGUCCUACCGAGUGGGCCCAGAGAUACCUCUCCGUUUACACGGAGUGACAAAAUCCCAAUCUCGAUUCGUGCCAACCCAACAGACACUUUCAGAGAUACCCGUAGUGUACCUUUAUAGCCACCCAGUUACGUUGUGACGUUUGGCACACCCAAAGCACUCCUACGGUAUCCGGGAGUUGCACAAUCUCAUGGUCUAAGGAAAUGAUACUUGACAUUAGAAAAGCUUUAGCAUACGAACUACAUGAUCUUGUGCUAGGCUUAGGAUUGGGUCUUGUCCAUCACAUCAUUCUCCUAAUGAUGUGAUCCCGUUAUCAACGACAUCCAAUGUCCAUGGUCAGGAAACCGUAACCAUCUAUUGAUUAACGAGCCAGUCAACUAGAGGCUUACUAGGGACAUGGUGUUGUCUAUGUAUCCACACAUGUAUCUGAGUUUCCUAUCAAUACAAUUCUAGCAUGGAUAAUAAACGAUUAUCAUGAACAAGGAAAUAUAAUAAUAAUCAAUUUAUUAUUGCCUCUAGGGCAUAUUUCCAACAGUCUCCCACUUGCACUAGAGUCAAUAAUCUAGUUCACAUCACCAUGUGAUUAACACUGACAGGUCACAUCACCAUGUGACCAACAUCCAAAGAGUCUUGGGUUUGAUCAUGUUGCUUGUGAGAGAGGUUAUAGUCAACGGGUCUGAACCUUUCAGAUCCGUGUGUGCUUUACAAAUCUCUAUGUCAUCUCCUAGAUGCAGCUACCACGUUCUAUUUGGAGCUAUUCCAAAUAACUGUUCUACUUGGAGCUAUUCUAAAUUGUUGCUCCAUUAUACGUAUCCGGUAUCUCUACUCAGAGCUAUCCGGAUAGGUGUUAAGCUUGCAUCGACGUAACCCUUUACGACGAACUCUUUUACCACCUCCAUAAUUGAGAAAAUUCCUUAGUCCACUAGUUACUAAGGAUAACUUUGACCGCUGUCCUGCGAUCCAUUCUUGGAUCACCCUUGUACCCCUUGACUGACUCAUGGUAAAGCACACUUCAGGUGCGGUACACAGCAUAGCAUACUGUAGAGCCUAUGUCUUAAGCAUAGGGGAUGACCUUCGUUCCUUUCUCUCUAUUCUGCCAUGGUCGAGCUUUAAGUCUUAACUUCAUACCUUACAACUCAGGCAAGAACUCCUUCUUUGACUGGUCCAUCUUGAACACCUUCAAGAUCAUGUCAAGGUAUGUGCUCAUUUGAAAGUACUAUUAAGCGUUUUGAUCUAUCCUUAUAGAUCUUGAUGCUCAAUGUUCAAGUAGCUUAAUCCAGGUUUUCCAUUGAAAACACUUUCCAAAUAACCCUAUAUGCUUUCCAGAAAUUCUACGUCAUUUCUGAUCAUUAAUAUGUCAACAACAUAUAAUCAUCAGAAAUUCUAUAGUGCUCCCACUCACUUCUUUGGAAAUACAAGUUUCUCAUAAACUUUGUAUACACCCAAAAUCUUUGAUCAUCAUCAAAGCAUACAUUCCAACUCCGAGAUGCUCACUCCAGUCCUCAGAAGGAUUGCUGGAGCUUUGCAUACUUAUUAGCAUAUUUCAGGAUAGACAAAACCUUCCAGUUGUAUCACAUACAACCUUUCCUCAAGAAUCGUCGACGAAACAAUGUUUUGACAUCCUAUCUGCAAGAUUUCAUAAAUAAUGCAGUAAUUGUUAAUAUAAUUCCAACAGACUCUUAGCAUCGCUACGAGUGAGAAAGUCUCAUUGUAGUCAACUCCUUGAACUUGUCAAAAAACAUCUUAACGACAAGUCGAGCUUUCUCAAUGGUGACACUUACCAUCAUUGUCUGUCUUCCUUUCAAAAUCCAUAUGUACCUAACAGCCUUACGACCAUCAAGUAGUUCUUCCAAAGUCUACACUUUGUUUUCAUACAUGGAUCCUCUCUCGGGUUUUAUGGCCAUGAGCCAUUUAUCGGAAUCCGGGCCCACCAUUGCUUCUCCAUAGCUCGUAGGUUCAUUGUUGUCUAGCAACAUGACUUCCAAGACAGGAUUACUGUACCACUCUGAAGUAGUACGUAUCCUUGUCACCCUACGAGGUUUGGGAGUGACUUGAUCUGAAGUUUCAUGAUCACUAUCAUAAGCUUCUACUUCAAUUGGUGUAGGUGCCACAGGAACAACUUCCUGUGCCCUGCUACACACUGGUUGAAGUGAUGGUUCAAUAACCUCAUCAAGUCUCCACCAUCCUCCCACUCAAUUCUUUCGAGAGAAACCUUUCCUCGAGAAAGGACCCAAUUCUAGAAACAAUUCAUAUUGCUUUCGGAUCUGAAUUAGGAAGUAUACCCAACUGUUUUGGGUGUCCUAUGAAGAUGUACUUUAUCCGCUUUGGUUUCGAGCUUAAUCCUGAAACUUUUUCACAUAAGUGUCGCAGCCCCAAACCUUUAAGAAACGACAACUUAGGUUUCUCUAAACCAUAAUUCAUACGGUGUCAUCUCAUCGGAAUUACGUGGUGCCCUAUUUAAAGUGAAUGUGGUUGUCUUUAAUGCCUAACCCAUAAACUAUCGUGGCAGUUCGAUAAGAGACAUCAUGGUAUGCAUCAUAUCCAAUAGGGUGCAACUAUGAUGUUCGGACACACCAUCACACUAUGGUGUUCCAGGCGGUAUUAAUUGUGAAACAAUUUCCACAAUGUCUUAAUUGUGUGCCAAAACUCGUAACUCAGAUACUCAUCUCUAUGAUCAUAUCAUAGACAUUUUAUCCUCUUGUCACAAUGAUCUUCUACUUCACUCUGAAAUUACUUGAACCAUUCAACAAUUCAGACUUGUGUUUCAUCAAGUAAAUAUUCUCAACAUCUACUCGAAUCAUCUGUGAAGUAAGAACAUAACGAUAUUCACUGCAUGCCUCAGCACUCAUUGGACUGCACACAUCAAAAUGUGUUACUUCCAACAAGUUGCUAUCUUGUUCCAUCUUACUGAAAACGAGGCUUUUCAGUCAUCUUGCCCAUGUGGUAUGAUUUGCAUGUCCCAAGUGAUUCAAAAAUCAAGUGAGUCAAAACGGUCCAUUUGCAUGGAGUUUCUUCAUGCAUAUACACCAAUAGACAUGGUUCGCAUGUCUCAAACUUUUCAAAAACGAGUGAGCCCAAAGAUCCAUCAAUAUGGAGCUUCUUCAUGCGUUUUAUACCGAUAUGACUUACGUGGUAGUGCCACAAGUAGGUGGUACUAUCAUUACUAUCUUUUGGCAUGAACAUGUGUAUCACUACGAUCGAGAUUUAAUAAACCAUUCAUUUUAGGUGUAAGACCAUUGAAGGUAUUAUUCAAAUAAACAGAGUAACCAUUAUUCUCCUUAAAUGAAUAACCGUAUUGCGAUAGACGUAAUCCAAUCAUGUCUAUGCUCAACGCAAACACCAAAUAACAAUUAUUUAGGUUUAACACCAAUCUCUUUGGUAGAGGGAGCGUGCGAUGCUUGAUCAUAUCAAGCAUGGAAAAACUUACAACACAUAUCGUCAGCUCACCUUUAGCUAGUCUCUGUUUAUUCCGUAGCCUUUUGUUUCGAGUUACUAACACUUAGCAACCGAACUGGUAUCUAAUACCCUGGUGCUACUAGGAGUACUAGCAAAGUACACAUUAACACAAUGUAUAUCCAAUAUACUUCUAUCGACCUUGCCAGCCUUCUUAUCUACCAAGUAUCUAGGGUAAUUCUGCUCUAGUAGUUGUUCCCCUUAUUACAGAAGCACUUAGUCUCGGGUUUGGGUUUUACCUUGGGUUUCUUCACUAGAGCAGCAGCUGAUUUGCCGUUUCAUGAAGUAUCCCUUCUUGCCCUUGCCCUUCUUGAAACUAGUGGUUCCACCAACCAUCAACAAUUGAUGCUCCUUCUUGAUUUCUACUUUCGCGGUGUCAAACAUCGCGAAUACCUCAAGGAUCAUCAUAUCUAUCCCUGAUAUGUUAUAGUUCAUCAUGAAGCUCUAACAGCUUGGUGGCAAUGACUUUGGAGAACCAUCACUAUCUCAUCUGGAAGAUCAACUCCCACUCGAUUCAAGCGAUUGUUGUACUCAGACAAUCUGAGCACAAGCUCAACGAUUGAGCUUUUCUCCCUUAGUUUGCAGGUUAAGAAAGUCAUCGGAGGUCUUAUACCUCUUGACAUGGGCACGAGCCUGAAAUCCCAAUUUCAGCCCUCAAAACAUCUCAUAUGUUUCGCGAUGUUUCAAAAACGUCUUUGGUGCCUCAACUCUAAACCGUUUAACUGAACUAUCACGUAGUUAUCAAAACGUGUAUGUCAGAUGUUCGCAACAACCACAGACAACGUUCGAGGUUCAGCACACUGAGCGGUGCAUUAAGGACAUAAGCCUUCUAUGAAGCAAUGAGGACAAUCCUCAGUUUACGGACCUAGUCCGCAUAAUUGCUACUAUCAACUUUCAACUAAUUUUUCUCUAGGAACAUAUCUAAACAGUAGAACUAUAGCGUGAGCUACGACAUAAUUUGCAAAAACCUUUUGACUAUGUUCAGGAUAAUUAAGUUCAUCUUAUGAACUCCCACUCAGAUAGACAUCCCUCUAGUCAUCUAAGUGAUUACAUGAUCCGAGUCAAACUAGGCCGUGUCCGAUCAUCACGUGAGACGGACUAGUCAUCAUCGGUGAACAUCUUCAUGUUGAUCGUAUCUUCUAUACGACUCAUGUUCGACCUUUCGGUCUUCGUGUUCCGAGGCCAUGUAUGUACAUGCUAGGCUCGUCAAGUUAACCCUAAGUGUUUCGCGUGUGUAAAUCUGUCUUACACCCGUUGUAUGUGAACGUUAGAAUCUAACACCCGAUCAUCACGUGGUGCUUCGAAACACGAACUGUCGCAACGGUGCACAGUUAGGGGAGAACACUUCUUGAAAUUGUUGUAAGGGAUCAUCUUAUUUACUACCGUCGUUCUAAGCAAAUAAGAUGUAUAAACAUGAUAAACAUCACAUGCAAUCAAAUAGUGACAUGAUAUGGCCAUCAUCACUUUGCUCCUUUUGAUCUCCAUCUUCGGGGCUCCAUGAUCAUCAUCGUCACCGGCAUGACACCAUGAUCUCCAUCAUCAUGAUCUCCAUCAUCGUGUCUUCAUGAAGUUGCCUCGCCAACUAUUACUUCUACUACUAUGGCUAACGGUUAGCAAUAAAGUAAAGUAAUUACAUGACGUUUAAGUUGACACGCAGGUCACAAAUGAAUAAAGACAACUCCUAUGGCUCCUGCCGGUUGUCAUACUCAUCGACAUGCAAGUCGUGAUUCCUAUUACAAGAACAUGAUCAAUCUCAUACAUCACAUAUAUCAUUCAUCACAUCCUUUUUGGCCAUAUCACAUCACAUAGCAUACCCUGCAAAAACAAGUUAGACGUCCUCUAAUUGUUGUUUGCAUGUUUUACGUGGCUGCUAUGGGUUUCUAGCAAGAACGUUUCUUACCUACGCAUGAACAACAACGUGAUAUGCCAAUUGCUAUUUACCCUUCAUAAGGACCCUUUUCAUCGAAUCCGAUCCGACUAAAGUGGGAGAGACAGACACCCGCCAGCCACCUUAUGCAACUAGUGCAUGUUUGUCGGUGGAACCGGUCUCACGUAAGCGUACGUGUAAGGUUGGUCCGGGCCGCUUCAUCCCACGAUGCCGCCGAAUCAAGAUAAGACUAGUAACGGCAAGCAUAUUGAACAAUAUCAACGCCCACAACUACUUUGUGUUCUACUCGUGCAAAGAAUCUACGCAAUAGACCUAGCUCAUGAUGCCACUGUUGGGGAACGUAGCAGAAAUUCAAAAUUUUCCUACGUGUCACCAAGAUCUAUCUAUGGAGAUACUAGCAACGAGGGAAGGAGAGUGCAUCUACAUACCCUUGUAGAUCGCUAAGCGGAAGCGUUCAAGUGAACGGGGUUGAUGGAGUCGUACUCGUCGUGAUUCAGAUCACCGAUGAUCCUAGUGCCGAACGGACGGCACCUCCGCGUUCAACACACGUACAGCUCGACGAUGUCUCCCACGCCUUGAUCCAGCAAGGAGAGAGGGAGAGGUUGAGGAAGACUCCAUCCAGCAGCAGCACAACGGCGUGGUGGUGAUGGAGGAGCGUGGCAAUCCUGCAGGGCUUCGCCAAGCACCUACGGGAGAGGAGGAGGUGUCACGGGAGGGAGGGAGGCGCCAAGGGCUCAGGUAUAGAUGCCCUCCCUCCCCUCCACUAUAUAUAGGGGCAAGGGAGAGGGGGAGGCGCAUCCUUGCCCCUUCCUCCAAGGAAGGGGUGCGGCUAAGAGGGGGGGAGGAGUCCAUCCUCCCCAAGGCACCUCGGAGGUGCCUUCCCCCUUUAGGACUCUCCCCUUUUUCCUAUAUCUUGGCGCAUGGGCCUCUAGGGGCUGGUGCCCUUGGCCCAUGUAGGCCAAGGCGCACCCCCCUACAGCCCAUGUGGCCCCCCGGGGCAGGUGGCCCCACCCGGUGGGCCCCCGGGACCCUUCCGGUGGUCCCGGUACAAUACCGAUGACCCCGAAACUUGUCCCGAUGGCCGAAACAGGACUUCCUAUAUAUAAAUCUUUACCUCCGGACCAUUCCGGAACUCCUCGUGACGUCCGGGAUCUCAUCCGGGACUCCGAACAACAUUCGGUAACCACAUACAAACUUCCUUUAUAACCCUAGCGUCAUCGAACCUUAAGUGUGUAGACCCUACGGGUUCGGGAGACAUGUAGUCAUGACCGAGAUGUUCUCCGGUCAAUAACCAACAGCGGGAUCUGGAUACCCAUGUUGGCUCGCACAUGUUCCACGAUGAUCUCAUCGGAUGAACCACGAUGUCAAGGACUCAAUCAAUCCCGUAUACAAUUCCCUUUGUCUAGCGGUAUGGUACUUGCCCGAGAUUCGAUCGUCGGUAUACCGAUACCUUGUUCAAUCUCGUUACCGGCAAGCCUCUUUACUCGUUCCGUAACACAUCAUCCCGUGAUCAACCCCUUGGUCACAUUGUGCACAUUAUGAUGAUGUCCUACCGAGUGGGCCCAGAGAUACCUCUCCGUUUACACGGAGUGACAAAAUCCCAAUCUCGAUUCGUGCCAACCCAACAGACACUUUCAGAGAUACCCGUAGUGUACCUUUAUAGCCACCCAGUUACGUUGUGACGUUUGGCACACCCAAAGCACUCCUACGGUAUCCGGGAGUUGCACAAUCUCAUGGUCUAAGGAAAUGAUACUUGACAUUAGAAAAGCUUUAGCAUACGAACUACAUGAUCUUGUGCUAGGCUUAGNNNNNNNNNNUGAUCAACCCCUUGGUCACAUUGUGCACAUUAUGAUGAUGUCCUACCGAGUGGGCCCAGAGAUACCUCUCCGUUUACACGGAGUGACAAAAUCCCAAUCUCGAUUCGUGCCAACCCAACAGACAUUUUCAGAGAUACCCGUAGUGUACCUUUAUAGCCACCCAGUUACGUUGUGACGUUUGGCACACCCAAAGCACUCCUACGGUAUCCGGGAGUUGCACAAUCUCAUGGUCUAAGGAAAUGAUACUUGACAUUAGAAAAGCUUUAGCAUACGAACUACAUGAUCUUGUGCUAGGCUUAGGAUUGGGUCUUGUCCAUCACAUCAUUCUCCUAAUGAUGUGAUCCCGUUAUCAACGACAUCCAAUGUCCAUGGUCAGGAAACCGUAACCAUCUAUUGAUUAACGAGCUAGUCAACUAGAGGCUUACUAGGGACAUGGUGUUGUCUAUGUAUCCACACAUGUAUCUGAGUUUCCUAUCAAUACAAUUCUAGCAUGGAUAAUAAACGAUUAUCAUGAACAAGGAAAUAUAAUAAUAAUCAAUUUAUUAUUGCCUCUAGGGCAUAUUUCCAACAAGAAACGGGGAACAAACUGAUGAAAGAAUGAUCAUACCGAGGGAAUUCACUCAGAACUAACAAGAAUGAUAACGUGCUUUGACUGGAGCGGUUUAAAAACUGCUGGAAGGCUCUAGGGGAAUAAAGAUGGAAUGCCUUCAAAUUUCUAGGUCCGUAUGAUUUGAAAUACUUGCACACAAACCGCGCGAAAGCGUUCCUGGAAAUCUCAGCCCAAAAAAGGACGUUUAGUAAUUCUAAAAGGGACUACAGAAUGAAAAACAAUAGUUUUGGCAGUUAAAGUUUGAGAUUCGAUGGUGCCGUAGAUCCGUUUGGUCAUCAGGUGUAACGAGCCACACCCAUGUCUAGCUAGAGUAGUGUGCUAGGCUCAGGCUAGAGAAGAAACGGGGAACAAACUGAUGAAAGAAUGAUCAUACCGAGGGAAUUCACUCAGAACUAACAAGAAUGAUAACGUGCUCCGACUGGAGCGGUUUAGGAACUGCUGGAAGGCUCUAGGGGAAGAAAGAAGGAAUGACUUCUAAUUUUUAGGUCCGUAUGAUUUGAAAUACGUGCACACAAACCGCGCGAAAGCGUUCCUGGAAAUCUCAGCCCAAAAAAGGACGUUUAGUAUUCUAAAAGGGACUACAGAAUGAAAAACAAUAGUUUUGGCAGUUAAAGUUUGAGAUUCGACGGUGCCGUAGAUCCGUUUGGUCAUCAGGUGUUACGAGCCACACCCAUGUCUAGCUAGAAUAGUGUGCNNNNNNNNNNNNNNNNNNNNNNNNNCGUAUGAUUUGAAAUACGUGCACACAAACCGCGCGAAAGCGUUCCUGGAAAUCUCAGCCCAAAAAAGGACGUUUAGUAUUCUAAAAGGGACUACAGAAUGAAAAACAAUAGUUUUGGCAGUUAAAGUUUGAGAUUCGACGGUGCUGUAGAUCCGUUUGGUCAUCAGGUGUUACGAGCCACACCCAUGUCUAGCUAGAAUAGUGUGCUAGGCUCAGGCUAGAGAAGAAAAGGGGAACAAACUAAUGAAAGAAUGAUCAAUACGAGGGAAUUCACUCAGAACUAACAAUAAUGAUAACGUGCUCCGACUGGAGCGGUUUAGGAACUGCUGGAAGGCUCUAGGCGAAUAAAGAUGGAAUGACUUCUAAUUUUUACGUCCGUAUGAUUUGAAAUACUUGCACACAAACCACGCAAAAGCGUUCCUGGAAAUCUCGGCCUAAAAAGGACGUUUAGUAAUUCUAAAAGGGACUACAGGAUGAAAAAUAAUAGUUUGGGCAGUUAAAAUUUGAGAUUCGACGGUGCCGUAGAUCCGUUUGGUCAUCAGGUGUUACGAGCCACACCCAUGUCUAGCUAGAAUAGUGUGUUAGGCUCAGGCUAGAGAAGAAACGAGGAACAAACUGAUGAAAGAAUGAUCAUACCAAGGGAAUUCACUCAGAACUAACAAGAAUGAUAACGUGCUCCGACUGGAGCAGUUUAGAAACUGCUGGAAGGCUCUAGGGGAAUAAAGAUGGAAUGACUUCUGAUUUUUAGGUCCGUAUGAUUUGAAAUACGUGCACACAAACCCCGCGAAAGCGUUCCUGGAAAUCUCAGCCCAAAAAAGGACGUUUAGUAAUUCUAAAAGGGACUACAACAUGAAAAACAAUAGUUUUGGCAGUUAAAGUUUGAGAUUUCAUGGUGCCGUAGAUCUGUUUGGUCAUCAGGUGUUACGAGCCACACCCAUGUCUAGCUAGAAUAGUGUGUUAGGCUCAGGCUAGAAAAGAAACGGGAAACAAAGUGAUGAAAGAAUGACCAUACCGAGGGAAUUCACUCAGAACUAACAAGAAUGAUAACAUGCUCCGACUUGAGCGGUUUAGGAACUGCUGGAAGGCUCUAGGGGAAUAAAGAUGGAAUGACUUCUAAUGUUUAGGUCCGUAUGAUUUGAAAUACUUGCACAUAAACCGCACAAAAGCGUUCCUGGAAAUCUCAGCCCAAAAAAGGACGUUUAGUAAUUCUAAAAGGGACUACAGGAUGAAAAACAAUAGUUUUGGCAGUUAAAGUUUGAGAUUCGACGGUGCCGUAGAUCCGUUUGGUCAUCAGGUGUUACGAGCCACACCCAUGUCUAGCUAGAAUAGUGUGUUAGGCUCAGGCUAGAGAAGAAACUUGGAACAAACUGAUGAAAGAAUGAUCAAACCAACGGAAUUCACUCAGAACUAACAAUAAUGAUAACGUGCUCCGACUGGAGCAGUUUAGGAACUGCUGGAAGGCUCUAGGGGAAUAAAGAUGGAAUGACUUCUAAUUUUUAGGUCCGUAUGAUUUGAAAUACUUGCACGCAAACCGCGCGAAAGCGUUCCUGGAAAUAUCAGCCCAAAAAAGGACGUUUAGUAAUUCUAAAAGGGACUACAGGAUGAAAACAAUAGUUUUGGCAGUUAAAGUUUGAGAUUCAACAGUGCCGUAGAUCCGUUUGGUCAUCAGGUGUUAUGAGCCAUACCCAUGUCUAGCUAGAGUAGUGUGCUAGGCUCAGGCUAGAGAAGAAACAGGGAACAAACUGAUGAAAGAAUGAUCAUACCGAGGGAAUUCACUCAGAACUAACAAGAAUGAUAACGUGCUCCGACUGGAGCGGUUUAGGAACUGCUGGAAGGCUCUAGGGGAAUAAAGAUGGAGUGACUUCUAAAUUUUUAGGUCCGUAUGAUUUAAAAUACUUGCACACAAACCGCACGAAAGCGUUCCUUGAAAUCUCAGCCCAAAAAAGGACGUUUAGUAAGUCUAAAAGGGACUAUAGGAUGAAAAACAAUAGUUUUGGCAGUUAAAGUUUGAGAUUCGAUGGUGCCGUAGAUCUGUUUGGUCAUCAGGUGUUACGAGCCACACCCAUGUCUAGUUGGAAUAGUGUGCUAGGCUCAGACUAGAGAAGAAACAGGGAACAAACUGAUGAAAGAAUGAUCAAACCGAGGAAAUUCACUCAGAACUAACAAUAAUGAUAACAUGCUCCGACUGGAGCGGUUUAGGAACUGCUGGAAGGCUCUAGGGGAAUAAAGAUGGAAUGACUUCUAAAUUUUUAGGUCCGUAUGAUUUGAAAUAGUUGCACACAAACUGCGCGAAAGCGUUCCUGGAAAUCUCAGCCCAAAAAAGGACGUUUAGUAAUUCUAAAAGGGACUAUAGGAUGAAAAACAAUAGUUUUGGCAGUUAAAGUUUGAGAUUCGACGGUGCCGUAGAUCCGUUUGGUCAUCACGUGUUACAAGCCACACCCAUGUCUAGCUAGAGUAGUGUGCUAGGCUCAGACUAUAGAAGAAACGGGGACCAAACUGAUGAAAGAAUGAUCAAACCGAGGAAAUUCACUCAGAACUAACAAUAAUGAUAACAUGCUCCGACUGGAGCGGUUUAGGAACUACUGGAAGGCUCUAGGGGAAUAAAGAUGGAAUGACUUCUAAAUUUUUAGGUCCGUAUGAUUUUAAAUAGUUGCACACAAACUGCGCGAAAGCGUUCCUGGAAAUCUCAGCCCAAAAAAGGACGUUUAGUAAUUCUAAAAGGGACUACAGGAUGAAAAACAAUAGUUUGGGCAGUUAAAAUUUGAGAUUCGACGGUGCCGUAGAUCCGUUUGGUCAUCAGGUGUUACGAGCCACACCCAUGUCUAGCUAGAGUAGUGUGCUAGGCUCAGGCUAGAGAAGAAACAGGGAACAAACUGAUGAAAGAAUGAUCAUACCGAGGGAAUUCACUCAGAACUAACAAGAAUGAUAACGUGCUCUGACUGGAGCGGUUUAAGAACUGUUGGAAGGCUCUAGGGGAAUAAAGAUGGAAUCACUUCAAAUUUUUACGUCCGUGUGAUUUGAAAUACUUGCACACAAACCGCACGAAAGCGUUCCUGGAAAUCUCAGCCCAAAAAAGGACGUUUAGUAAGUCUAAAAGGGACUACACGAUGAAAAACAAUAGUUUUGGCAGUUAAAGUUUGAGAUUCGACAGUGCCGUAGAUCCGUUUGGUCAUCAGGUGUAACGAGCCACACCCAUGUCUAGAUAGAGUAGUGUGCUAGGCUCAAACUAGAGAAGAAACGGGGAACAAACUGAUGAAAGAAUGAUCAUACCGAGGGAAUUCACUCAGAAAUAACAAGAAUGAUAACGUGCUCUGACUGGAGCGGUUUAGGAACUGCUGGAAGGCUCUAGGGGAAUAAAGAAGGAAUGACUUCUAAUUUUUAGGUCCGUAUGAUUUGAAAUACGUGCACACAAACCCCGAGAAAGCGUUCCUGGAAAUCUCGACCCAAAAAAGGACGUUUAGUAAUUCUAAAAGGGACUACGGGAUGAAAAACAAUAGUUUUGGCAGUUAAAGUUUGAGAUUCGAUAAUGCCGUAGAUCCAUUUGGUCAUCAGGUGUAACGAGCCACACCCAUGUCUAGCUAGAGUAGUGUGCUAGGCUCAGACUAGAGAAGAAACAGGGAACAAACUGAUGAAAGAAUGAUCAUAUCGAGGGAAUUCACUCAGAACUAACAAGAAUGAUAACAUGCUCCGACUUGAGCGGUUUAGGAACUGCUGGAAGGCUCUAGGGGAAUAAAGAUGGAAUGACUUCUAAUUUUUAGGUCCGUAUGAUUUGAAAUACUUACACACAAACCACGCGAAAGCGUUCCUGGAAAUCUCAGCCCAAAAAAGGACGUUUAGUAAUUCUAAAAGGGACUACAUGAUGAAAAACAAUAGUUUUCGCAGUUAAAGUUUGAGAUUCGACGGUGCCGUAGAUCCGUUUGGUCAUCAAGUGUUACGAGCCACACCCAUGUCUAGCUAGAAUAGUGUGUUAGGCUCAGCCUAGAGAAGAAACGGGGAACAAACUGAUGAAAGAAUGAUCAUACCGAGGGAAUUCACUCAGAACUUACAAGAAUGAUAACGUGCUCCGACUUGAGCGGUUUAAGAACUGUUGGAAGGCUCUAGGGGAAUAAAGAUGGAAUCACUUCAAAUUUUUACGUCCGUGUGAUUUGAAAUACUUGCACACAAACCCCGAGAAAGCGUUCCUGGAAAUCUCGGCCGAAAAAAGGAUGUUUAAUAAUUCUAAAAGGGACUACAGGAUGAAAAACAAUAGCUUUGGCAGUUAAAGUUUGUGAUUCGAUGGUGCCGUAGAUCUGUUUGGUCAUCAGGUGUUAUGAGCCACACCCAUGUCUAGCUAGAAUAGUGUGUUAGGCUCAGGCUAGAGCAGAAACUAGGAACAAACUUAUGAAAGAAUGAUCAUACCGAGGGAAUUCACUCAGAACUAACAAGAAUGAUAACGUGCUCCGACUGGAGCGGUUUAGGAACUGCUGGAAGGCUCUAGGGGAAUAAAGAUGGAAUGACUUCUAAUUUUUAGGUCCGUAUGAUUUGAAAUACAUGCACACAAACCCCAAGAAAGCGUUCCUAGAAAUCUCAGCCCAAAAAGGACGUUUAGUAAUUCUAAAAGGGACUACAGGAUGAAAAACAAUAGGUUUGGCAGUUAAAGUUUGAGAUUCGAUAAUGCCGUAGAUCCGUUUGGUCAUCAGGUGUAACGAGCCACACCCAUGUCUAGCUACAUUAGUGUGCUAGGCUCAGACUAGAGAAGAAACGGGGAACAAACUGAUGAAAGAAUGAUCAUACCGAGGGAAUUCACUCAGAACUAACAAGAACGAUAACAUGCUCCGACUGCAGCGGUUUAGGAACUGCUGGAAGGCUCUAGGGGAAUAAAGAAGGAAUGACUUCUAAUUUUUAGGUCCGUAUGAUUUGAAAUACUUGCACACAAACCGCGCGAAAGCAUUCCUGGAAAUCUCAGCCCAAAAAAGGACGUUUAGUAAUUCUAAAAGGGACUACAGGAUGAAAAACAAUAAUUUUGGCAGUUAAAGUUUGAGAUUCGACGGUGCCGUAGAUCCGUUUGGUCAUCAGGUGUUACGGGCCAUACCCAUGUCUAGCUAGAAUAGUGUGUUAGGCUCAGGUUAGAGAAGAAACGGGGAACAAAGUGAUGAAAGAAUGAUCAUACCGAGGGAAUUCACUCAGAACUAACAAGAAUGAUAACGUGCUCCGACUGGAGCGGUUUAGGAAUUGCUGGAAGGCUCUAGGGGAAUAAAGAUGGAAUGACUUCUAUAUUUUACGUCCGUAUGAUUUGAAAUACUUGCACACAAACCACGCAAAAGCACUCCUGGAAAUAUCAGCCUAAAAAGGAUGUUUAGUAAUUCUAAAAGGGACUACAGGAUGAAAAAUAAUAGUUUUGGCAGUUAAAAUUUGAGAUUCAACGGUGCCGUAAAUCCGUUUGGUCAUCAGGUGUUACGAGCCACACCCAUGUCUAGCUAGAAUAGUGUGUUAGGCUCAGGUUAGAGAAGAAACGGGGAACAAACUGAUGAAAGAAUGAUCAUACAAGGGGAAUUCACUCAGAACUAUCAAGAAUGAUAACGUGCUCCGACUGGAGCAGUUUAGGAACUGCCGGAAGGCUCUAGGGGAAUAAAGAUGGAAUGACUUCUAAUUUUUAUGUCCGUAUGAUUUGAAAUACUUGCACACAAACCACGCAAAAGCGUUCCUGGAAAUCUCAGCCUAAAAAGGACGUUUAGUAAUUCUAAAAGGGACUACAGGAUGAAAAACAAUAGUUUGGGCAGUUAAAAUUCGAGAUUCGACGGUGCCGUAGAUCCGUUUGGUCAUCAGGUGUUACGAGCCACACCCAUGUCUAGCUAGAAUAGUGUGUUAGGCUCAGGCUAGAGAAGAAACGGGGAACAAACUGAUGAAAGAAUGAUCAUAUCGAGGGAAUUCACUCAGAACUAACAAGAAUGAUAACGUGCUCCGACUGGAGCGGUUUAGUAACUGCUGGAAGGCUCUAGGGGAAUAAAGAUGGAAUGACUUCUAAUUAUUAGGUCCGUAAGAUUUGAAUUACAUGCACACAAACCCCGAGAAAGCGUUCCUGGAAAUCUCGGUCGAAAAAAGGAUGUUUAGUAAUUCUAAAAGGGACUACAGGAUGAAAAACAAUAGUUUUGGCAGUUAAAGUUUGUGAUUCGAUGGUGCCGUAGAUCUGUUUGGUCAUCAGGUGUUACGAGCCACACCCAUGUCUAGCUAGAAUAGUGUGUUAGGCUCAGGCUAGAGCAGAAACGGGGAACAAACUUAUGAAAGAAUGAUCAUGCCGAGGGAAUUCACUCAGAACUAACAAGAAUGAUAACGUGCUCCGACUGGAGCGGUUUAGGAACUGCUGGAAGGCUCUAGGGGAAUAAAGAUGGAAUGACAUCAAAUUUUUAGGUCCGUAUGAUUUGAAAUACUUGCACACAAACCGCAAGAAAGCGUUCUUGGAAAUCUCCGCCCAAAAAAGGACGUUUAGUAAUUCUAAAAGGGUCUACAGGAUGAAAAACAAUAGUUCUGGCAGUUAAAGUUUGAGAUUCGAUAAUGUCGUAGAUCCGUUUGGUCAUCAGGCGUAACGAGCCACACCCAUUUCUAGCUAGAGUAGUGUGCUAGGCUCAGACUAGAGAAGAAACGGGGAACAACCUGAUGAAAGAAUGAUCAUACCGAGGGAAUUCACUCAGAACUAACAAGAAUGAUAACGUGCUCCGACUGGAGCGGUUUAGGAACUGCUGGAAGGCUCUACGGGAAUAAAGAAGGAAUGACUUCUAAUUUUUAGGUCCGUAUGAUUUGAAAUACGUGCACACAAACCCCGAGAAAGCGUUCCUGGAAAUCUCGGCCCAAAAAAGGACGUUUAGUAUUCUAAAAGCGACUACAGAAUGAAAAACAAUAGUUUUGGUAGUUAAAGUUUGAGAUUUAACGGUGCCGUAGAUCUGUUUGGUCAUCAGGUGUUACGAGCCACACCCAUGUCUAGCUAGAAUAGUGUGUUAGGCUCAGGCUAGAUAAGAAACAGGGAACAAAGUGAUGAAAGAAUGAUCAUACCAAGGGAAUUCACUCAGAACUAACAAGAACGAUAACAUGCUCCGACUGGAGUGGUUUAGGAACUGCUGGAAGGCUCUAGGGGAAUAAAGAUGGAAUGACUUCUAAUUUUUAGGUCUGUAUGAUUUGAAAUACUUGCACACAAACCGCACGAAAGCGUUCCUGGAAAUCUCAUCCCAAAAAAGGACGUUUAGUAAUUCUAAAAGGGACUACAGGAUGAAAAACAAUAGUUUUGGCAGUUAAAGUUUGAGAUUCGAUAAUGCUGUAGAUCCGUUUGGUCAUCAGGUGUAACGAGCCACACCCAUGUCUAGCUAGAGUAGUGUGCUAGGCUCAGACUAGAGAAGAAACGGGGAACAAACUGAUGAAAGAAUGAUCAUACCGAGGGAAUUCACUCAGAACUAACAAUAAUGAUAACGUGCUCCGACUGGAGCGGUUUAGGAACUGCUGGAAGGCUCUAGGGGAAUAAAGAUGGAAUGAGUUCUAAUUUUUAGGUCUGUAUGAUUUGAAAUACUUGCACACAAACCGCGUGAAAGCAUUCCUGGAAAUUUCAGCCCAAAAAAGGACGUUUAGUAAUUUUAAAAGGGACUACACGAUGAAAAACAAUAGUUUUGGCAGUUAAAGUUUGAGAUUCGACGGUGCCGUAGAUCCGUUUGGUCAUCAGGUGUUACGAGCCACACCCAUGUCUAGCUAGAAUAGUAUGUUAGGCUCGGGUAAGAGAAGAAACGGGGAACAAACUGAUGAAAGAAUGAUCAUACCAAGGGAAUUCACUCAGAACUAACAAGAAUGAUAACGUGCUCCGACUGGAGCGGUUUAGGAACUGCUGGAAGGCUCUAGGGGAAUAAAGAUGGAAUGACUUCUAAUUUUUACGUUCGUAUGAUUUGAAAUACUUGCACACAAACCACGCAAAAGCGUUCCUGGAAAUCUCAUCCUAAAAAAGGACGUUUAGUAAUUCUAAAAGGGACUACAGGAUGAAAAAUAAUAGUUUGGGCAGUUAAAAUUUGAGAUUCGACGGUGCCGUAGAUCCGUUUGGUCAUCAGGUGUUACGAGCCACACCCAUGUCUAGCUAGAAUAGUGUGUUAGGCUCAGGCUAGAGAAGAAACGGGGAACAAACUGAUGAAAGAAUGAUCAUAUCGAGGGAAUUCACUCAGAACUAACAAGAAUGAUAACGUGCUCCGACUGGAGCAGUUUAGAAACUGCUGGAAGGCUCUAGGGGAAUAAAGAUGGAAUGACUUCUAAUUUUUAGGUCUGUAUGAUUUGAAAUACGUGCACACGAACCCCGAGAAAGCGUUCCUGGAAAUCUCGGCCCAAAAAAGGACGUUUAGUAAUUCUAAAAGGGACUACAGGAUGAAAAACAAUAGUUUUGGCAGUUAAAGUUUGAGAUUCGACGGUGCCGUAGAUCCGUUUGUUCAUCAGGUGUUACGAGCCACACCCAUGUCUAGCUAGAAUAGUGUGUUAGGCUCAGGCUAGAGAAGAAACGGGGAACAAACUGAUGAAAGAAUGAUCAUACCGAGGGAAUUCACUCAGAACUAACAAGAAUGAUAACGUGCUCCGACUGGAGCGGUUUAGGAACUGCUAGAAGGCUCUAGGGGAAUAAAGAAGGAAUGACUUCUAAUUUUUAGGUCCGUAUGAUUUGAAAUACGUGCACACAAACCCCGAGAAAGCGUUCCUGGAAAUCUUGGCCCAAAAAAGGACGUUUAGUAUUCUAAAAGCGACUACAGAAUGAAAAACAAUAGUUUUGCUAGUUAAAGUUUGAGAUUUGAUGGUGCCGUAGAUCUGUUUGGUCAUCAGGUUUUACGAGCCACACCCAUGUCUAGCUAGAAUAGUGUGUUAGGCUCAGGCUAGAAAAGAAACAGGGAAUAAAGUGAUGAAAGAAUGAUCAUACCAAGGGAAUUCACUCAGAACUAACAAGAACGAUAACAUGCUCCGACUGGAGUGGUUUAGAACUGCUGGAAGGCUAAAGGGGAAUAAAGAUGGAAUGACUUCUAAUUUUUAGGUCCGUAUGAUUUGAAAUACUUGCACACAAACCGCACGAAAGUGUUCCUGGAAAUCUCAGCCCAAAAAAGGACGUUUAGUAAUUCUAAAAGGGACUACAGGAUGAAAAACAAUAGUUUUGGCAGUUAAAGUUUGAGAUUCGAUAAUGACGUAGAUCCGUUUGGUCAUCAGGUGUAACGAGCCACACCCAUGUCUAGCUAGAGUAGUGUGCUAGGCUCAGACUAGAGAAGAAACGGGGAACAAACUGAUGAAAGAAUGAUCAUACCGAGGGAAUUCACUCAGAACUAACAAUAAUGAUAACGUGCUCCGACUAGAGCGGUUUAGGAACUGCUGGAAGGCUCUAGGGGAAUAAAGAUGGAAUGACUUCUAAUUUUUAGGUCCCUAUGAUUUGAAAUACUUGCACACAAACCGCGUGAAAGCAUUCCUGGAAAUUUCAGCCCAAAAAAGGACGUUUAGUAAUUUUAAAAGGGACUACACGAUGAAAAAGAAUAGUUUUGGCAGUUAAAGUUUGAGAUUCGACGGUGCCGUAGAUCCGUUUGGUCAUCAGGUGUUACGAGACACACCCAUGUCUAGCUAGAAUAGUAUGUUAGGCUC